AUUGAACGCUGGCGGCAGGCCUAACACAUGCAAGUCGAGCGGAUGAAGGGAGCUUGCUCCUGGAUCCAGCGGCGGACGGGUGAGUAAUGCCUAGGAAUCUGCCUGGUAGUGGGGGAUAACGUCCGGAAACGGGCGCUAAUACCGCAUACGUCCUGAGGGAGAAAGUGGGGGAUCUUCGGACCUCACGCUAUCAGAUGAGCCUAGGUCGGAUUAGCUAGUUGGUGGGGUAAAGGCCUACCAAGGCGACGAUCCGUAACUGGUCUGAGAGGAUGAUCAGUCACACUGGAACUGAGACACGGUCCAGACUCCUACGGGAGGCAGCAGUCGGGAAUAGUGGACAAUGGGCGAAAGCCUGCUCCAGCCAUGCCGCGUGUGUGAAGAAGGUCUUCGGAUUGUAAAGCACUUUAAGUUGGGAGGAAGGGCAGUAAGUUAAUACCUUGCUGUUUUGACGUUACCAACAGAAUAAGCACCGGCUAACUUCGUG
rnacentral:rRNA from 1 species